rnacentral:rRNA from 1 species
CAAAAACAUAGCUGGGCGUAUUGGAUGUUCGGUCAUUUCUGCUCCAUGGUUUUCUAAAUAGCCGCAGUACCUUGACUGUGCUAAGGUAGCAUAAUCAAUUGGCUUAUAAUUGAAGUCUAGCAUGAAAGAAAGCAUGGAUAACCACUGUCUCAACACGGUUAAUAAAAGUUACUUAGUGGGUGAAAAUUCCCCCAGAUAGAUAAUAGACGAGAAGACCCUAGAAAUUUUUUAGAAAGGGGAAUUGGACUCCGUUUAAUUUUGUUGGGGCGACAGAAUAACAUGUAACUUAUUUUAUGCUAUAAGAAUUUUGUUUAAAGGAAAAGUAAAUUACUCUAGGGAUAACAGCAUAAUGCAAUUUAGAGUUUGUGACCUCGAUGUUGGACUAGGGUUUCUUACGACCAGAAGUUGGGGGACUAGGCUCUGUUCGAGCUAUCUUCCCUACAUGAUCA